AAGGAUCCAGCAUUGCCGCAAGCUGCAGCGUAGGUCACAGAUCCGGUGUGGCUGUGGCUGGGUCCAAUCAGAGCUGUAGCUGCCAGCCUAUGCCAGAGCCACAGCAAUGAGGGAUCCGAGCCGUGUCUGCGAACUACACCACAGCCCACGGCAACACCGGGUCCUUAACCCACUGAGCAAGGCCAGGGAUCGAACCCGCAACCUCAUGGUGCCUAGUCGGAUUCGUUAACCUCUGUGCCAUGACGUGAAUUCCUAAAGCCUUAUGUUAAAAAGAUGUGUCAAAGCAUCUUAUAUGAAACUAAUAAUUGUGGGGCUUAGUAAAUACAGUUGAAAAUUUCAGGCAGUUUAUUUGAAAACAGGAAAUAAAACUGUCAAAGAAAAAAUAGCGCACCUCUGGAAAUAGAGUCCUUUCAUGCAUGUGGUUUGUAGUGAGAGCGUGGCUGCCCGCUAGCGUCCUCUGCAUGUUUUCUGGAUCCUUAUUAGAAUGACCUGCGUCUUGGUAGAUCAUUUUAGAAAACGUUGAAACUUCACGAUUUACCUUAGUAUUUAAAAUGCAUGCAAUGCCUUUCCUGGAAAUUUGCAGUGUGGCCUCUCAGUAAAUCACCGAGGUUUUCAAAAACCAAGUCCUGUGAUCAUUAGGCUCUCGGUGCUGAGCUGGUGGCAGGGUGGGGCCUGCUGGUAACAGGAGAAUGACGACAGCUGUAGGGUUGCUCGCAGGCUCGGGAGAGGCGGUGUGCGCGUGCGCGGCAGCCUGGCCCCGCAGAGGGGGCCCAGUGGUCUCCAGGUUGAAAUCCGCAAGGAAAACACGUCCCCUGCGGGGGGGCCCCCGACCAGGGUCUACAGCUGGUAGCUGCUGUUUUAUUUUGUUGUGUCUGCCGGCGUUUUGCUUUUGGAGGAGCGCCCGGCAGAGGCUGCUCUGCGCUCCUGGCUCUGGAGCCGGAAUCACGAUCCGUCUAAAUAUAGCGCCCUUGUCUCCCGUGAGGCCGAAGGAGGGGAUCGGUGGCCAUAAAUGGGAGCGCCCUCCCUGGGGCUGGUGCUCAAUUCAGCUCAUCUCGGGAUCAGGUUCGCCCUGUUUGCUGCGCGUGUGCGUGGGAGUUUCUGUGAAUGUGCGGCUUCUAAAUUUAUGUAUCACUUGAUACGAGUACUGACAUCCUGGGGUUGCGGCGCUGGCACCCAGGUUGGCCACUAUGGUUUUGGUCCGGAGAUAGGAUUGUCCUUUCGGCGUCCCCAGGGGCCGCACUUCUUGUCUCCUUGGCUGCCUGUAGGCACAGAGAGAUAGGUAAAGACACAAAACGGAUCCGUUCUGGGGUGUGGACCAACCACCCUCUCUCCCCUCACGAGGUCCCCACAGGCAGCUCUGGGAUGUUCAAAAAGCUUGCAGAGAAGGGAGGUGGGCGCCCACCCCGCUCCUUCCCGACGCCUUGGGUCAGCUCGGUGCCCAGUGUGUGCGCAGGAUGCCACGGUAGUGGGUUCUCAUAGCAGCCUGGAAGGGGGGCCCUGUCGUCACCUGCAUUUGACAGCAUGGGAAGCUCAGUGGAGCGAGAGCGAGGCGUCCUCGCUGUGUCCAGCUGUCCAUCCACCGGGCCACCGACUGUCUGUCCAUCUGUUAUUUGUUAUCAGUUGUACACACGUAGGUCACUGAGGCAAAUCAAGAUCACAAUUUUUUCUUAAUUAAGGAUGACUUAUAUGUGGGAGUAAAAGAUUGCAUAUAGAGUAAAAAUAAAUGACACUAUCUGAAAGAAAAAAUUUUAAAUAGCUUUUUAAAUCAUUAUAUUUCUAAAAUAAAAAAAGUGACUAUGACUGUAAUUGGGGAAAAAACUAACAAGUUAUUUCAAAUAUGGUUUCUCGGAUUCUUUGUGAAGUUGUCUGUCUUACACUUCUGAAAAAUUAAAGAUAGUCUCUCCUUCUGGAGUUGGGUUCUGGAUUGGGUAGGUGGGAAUGGGGCAGGAAGGAGGAAAGGAGUCAGCCUUCGGAAGAGGGAGCAGGAGGGGCUGGAGAAAGAGCAGCAGGGACAGAAAACCAGGGACCAAGAGGCCCGCUGCGGGGGAGGGGAUGGGGUAGGCACUCUCGGAUAGGAGGGGUGCAGGCUCUCCUGCUGGCUGAAGCAGCGCACAGGAAACAGCGCCCCCACCCUCCUGUGGUUCAGGGGUCCUCUCUGCAGCCUCCCGCAUCUACCCCAGAGGACGUUUCCCAGGAAAAAGAAGGAAGCUCAGGGCCAAUGAAGAUUAAAUAAGAUGAUGAGGGCAGCUUUGCUAACACAGGGAACCGCCCAAACCCUCCCAGGGCAGGUCGGAGAAGAAAGGGGGGAACUGGCGGCUCCAGAAUGUCAUCAGGCUCCCCAGACACUCUGGC
rnacentral:lncRNA from 1 species